rnacentral:rRNA from 1 species
CCUACGGGUGGCUGCAGUGGGGAAUAUUGGACAAUGGGCGAAAGCCUGAUCCAGCCAUGCCGCGUGUGUGAAGAAGGCCUUCGGGUUGUAAAGCACUUUCAGUGGGGAAGAAAGCCUUGGGGCUAAUACCCUCGAGGAAGGACAUCACCCACAGAAGAAGCACCAGCUAACUCCGUGCCAGCAGCCGCGGUAAUACGGAGGGUGCGAGCGUUAAUCGGAAUUACUGGGCGUAAAGCGCGCGUAGGCGGUCUGAUAAGCCGGUUGUGAAAGCCCCGGGCUCAACCUGGGAACGGCAUCCGGAACUGUCAGGCUAGAGUGCAGGAGAGGAAGGUAGAAUUCCCGGUGUAGCGGUGAAAUGCGUAGAGAUCGGGAGGAAUACCAGUGGCGAAGGCGGCCUUCUGGACUGACACUGACGCUGAGGUGCGAAAGCGUGGGUAGCAAACAGGAUUAGAUACCCGAGUAGUC